rnacentral:sRNA from 1 species
AUAUUCCCCGAACAAGGGGGGAUGAGAACCUCCGACCGGGGUUCGACAACGGGUGACAGCCCGUUGGACAGACCACGAGCGUAGCGAGUGGGCUGCCCGAAGGGCGAGCGAAGCGAGUCAAUCCCCCCCUCACCGCCA